UACGUAGGGUGCGAGCGUUGUCCGGAAUUACUGGGCGUAAAGAGCUCGUAGGUGGUUUGUCGCGUUGUUCGUGAAAACUCACAGCUUAACUGUGGGCGUGCGGGCGGAUACGGGCAGACUGGAGUACUGCAGGGGAGACUGGAAUUCCUGGUGUAGCGGUGGAAUGACGCAGAGUAUCAGGAGGAACACCGGUGGCGAAGGCGGGUCUCUGGGCAGUAACUGACGCUGAGGAGCGAAAGCGUGGGGAGCGAACAGG
rnacentral:rRNA from 1 species